AAUAGAUACCCCGGUAGUCCACGCCGUAAACGAUGAGUGCUAAGUGUUAGAGGGUUUCCGCCCUUUAGUGCUGCAGCAAACGCAUUAAGCACUCCGCCUGGGGAGUACGGUCGCAAGACUGAAACUCAAAGGAAUUGACGGGGGCCCGCACAAGCGGUGGAGCAUGUGGUUUAAUUCGAAGCAACGCGAAGAACCUUACCAGGUCUUGACAUCCUCUGACACUCCUAGAGAUAGGAAUUUCCCCUUCGGGGGACAGAGUGACAGGUGGUGCAUGGUUGUCGUCAGCUCGUGUCGUGAGAUGUUGGGUUAAGUCCCGCAACGAGCGCAACCCUUGAUCUUAGUUGCCAGCAUUUAGUUGGGCACUCUAAGGUGACUGCCGGUGACAAACCGGAGGAAGGUGGGGAUGACGUCAAAUCAUCAUGCCCCUUAUGACCUGGGCUACACACGUGCUACAAUGGAUGGUACAAAGGGCAGCGAAACCGCGAGGUUAAGCCAAUCCCAUAAAACCAUUCUCAGUUCGGAUUGCAGGCUG
rnacentral:rRNA from 1 species